rnacentral:rRNA from 1 species
UACAGAGGUCUCAAGCGUUGUUCGGAAUUACUGGGCGUAAAGGGUGCGCAGGCCGCGCGGGCAGUCAAAUGUGUAAUUCAGGGGCUCAACCCCCUGCACUGCGCUUGAUACUUCCGCGCUCGAGCUUUGGAGAGGAGUCUGGAAUUCUCGGUGUAGCAGUGAAAUGCGUGGAUAUCGAGAAGAACACUUAGGGCGUAGGCAAGACUCUGGACAAAUGCUGACGCUCAUGCACGAAGGCUAGGGUAGCGAACGGG